GCUGGGCAUGGUGGCACACCCCUGUAAUCCCAGCAGCUUGGAGGCUGAGGCAGGAGGAUCACAGUUCAAAGCCAGCCUCAGCAACUUAGUGAGACACUGUCUCAA
rnacentral:sRNA from 1 species